GAGUUUGAUCCUGGCUCAGGAUGAACGCUAGCGAUAGGCUUAACACAUGCAAGUCGAGGGGCAGCAUAGAAUCAGCUUGCUGAUUUGGAUGGCGACCGGCGGAUGGGUGCGUAACGCGUAUGCAACUUACCUGUCAGAGGGGGAUAACCCGGAGAAAUUCGGACUAAUACCGCAUAUACUUGAGAUACUGCAUGGUGUUUCAAGGAAAUAUUUAUAGCUGACAGAUAGGCAUGCGUUCCAUUAGCUAGUAGGUGAGGUAACGGCUCACCUAGGCGACGAUGGAUAGGGGAACUGAGAGGUUAAACCCCCACACUGGUACUGAGACACGGACCAGACUCCUACGGGAGGCAGCAGUGAGGAAUAUUGGUCAAUGGGCGAGAGCCUGAACCAGCCAAUUCGCGUGAAGGAUGACUGCCCUAUGGGUUGUAAACUUCUUUAGUAGGGGAUUAAAGUUUGCCUUGCGAGGCAAUUUGCAAUACCCUAAGAAUAA
rnacentral:rRNA from 1 species